GCUAAACGCGAAGAACCUUACCAAGGCUUGACAUAUACCGGAAAAGUUCAGAAAUGUUCUCCCCGCAAGGUCGGUAUACAGGUGGUGCAUGGUUGUCGUCAGCUCGUGCCGUGAGAUGUUGGGUUAAGUCCCGCAACGAGCGCAACCCUCGUUCUAUGUUGCCAGCACGUAAUGGUGGGAACUCAUAGGAGACUGCCGGGGUCAACUCGGAGGAAGGUGGGGAUGACGUCAAAUCAUCAUGCCCCUUAUGUCUUGGGCUUCACGCAUGCUACAAUGGCCGAUACAAAGGGCUGCAAUACCGUAAGGUGGAGCGAAUCCAAAAAGUCGGUCUCAGUUCGGAUUGAGGUCUGCAACUCGACCUCAUGAAGUCGGAGUCGCUAGUAAUCGCAGAUCAGCAACGCUGCGGUGAAUACGUUCCCGGGUCUUGUACACACCG
rnacentral:rRNA from 1 species